rnacentral:rRNA from 1 species
CUACGGGGGGCUCCAGUGAGGAAUAUUGCACAAUGGGGGGAACCCUGAUGCAGCAACGCCGCGUGGAGGAUGACGCAUUUCGGUGUGUAAACUCCUUUUAUAUGUCAAGAAAAUGACGGUAGCAUAUGAAUAAGCACCGGCUAACUCCGUGCCAGCAGCCGCGGUAAUACGAAGGGUACAAGCGUUACUCGGAAUCACUGGGCGUAAAGGACGCGUAGGCGGGCUUGUAAGUCAGGUGUGAAAUCCUACAGCUUAACUGUAGAACUGCACUUGAAACUACGAGCCUAGAGUAUGGGAGGGGGAGAUGGAAUUAGUGGUGUAGGGGUAAAAUCCGUAGAUAUCACUAGGAAUACCUAAAGCGAAGGCGAUCUCCUGGAACAUAACUGACGCUAAGGCGUGAAAGCGUGGGGAGCAAACAGGAUUAGAUACCCCAGUAGUC